UGGAAGUGAUGUAACUUUCUACUCCUGACUAAAACUAGUGGAGGCAAAAACUGAUUUAAUGAGGCUGAUCC